rnacentral:rRNA from 1 species
AUGUGGCUUCAUUCGGAGGCAUUUCAAUCUUUGAAGGCAUUCAAGAUGGUCCUUUUCGACAAAAAAUCGAUGGCUGGCCAGGCUAAUCGCCCCUGUAGUUCAUACAAGUACAACUUCCCAUUCCUCACCAACGAUACAACCGUCUCCGUGGACGACAAUUGUGUCGAUCCACUGUACAAGCAUGUGUUCCCGCCACAGGUUGCUCCUCGACUCUCCUUCAUCAGGUUGCCUUUAAAGGUGGUCCCUUUUCCACUGUUCGAGCUGCAGAGCCACUGGGUGGCGGGCGUUCUGUCGGGGCGAUUCAAGCUCCCAUCCAAGGACGAGAUGAUGCGAGACGUGGCGGCCUUCUACUCGCGUGUGGGCGCUCGCGGAUGGCCCCGAAGAUACACCCACAGACUGCGAGACCGCGAGUUCGAGAACGAGGACUGGCUCGCGGAGCAAUGCCGGCGGGGCGGGCCCGAGGGGUGGAGGAGGGAGAUGUUCGACGCGGCGAUGCGGGUCAUGGUGGAACGCCCGGAGACCUACCGGGACGAGUGGGACGGCGGCGACUACGACCACUUGCUGGCCCGAGCAAACCGAGAUUUCACGGUGCAUCUUCCCGCCCCUCUCCGGCCUUGA